GACGAACGCUGGCGGCGUGCUUAACACAUGCAAGUCGAACGGAAAGGCCCUGCUUUUGUGGGGUUCUCGAGUGGCGAACGGGUGAGUAACACGUGAGUAACCUGCCCUUGACUUUGGGAUAACUUCAGGAAACUGGGGGUAAUACCGGAUAGGAGCUCCUGCUGCAUGGUGGGGGUUGGAAAGUUUCGGCGGUUGGGGAUGGACUCGCGGCUUAUCAGCUUGUUGGUGGGGUAGUGGCUUACCAAGGCUUUGACGGGUAGCCGGCCUGAGAGGGUGACCGGCCACAUUGGGACUGAGAUACGGCCCAGACUCCUACGGGAGGCAGCAGUGGGGAAUAUUGCACAAUGGGCGGAAGCCUGAUGCAGCAACGCCGCGUGCGGGAUGACGGCCUUCGGGUUGUAAACCGCUUUCGCCUGUGACGAAGCGUGAGUGACGGUAAUGGGUAAAGAAGCACCGGCUAACUACGUG
rnacentral:rRNA from 1 species